GGGAAUACUAACCCAGAUGCUGCGGAUGGAAGUGUGAAAUUUACAGGGAGAGAUAAGGAGAGAAGACGCAAAUGGAAAGAGUUGGUAGACCGCCGGACAGAGUGGUCUUGGAGUGAGGGUCCGAAGGUCAGCAACGAUUGGAGGAGGUCGAUGGUGGACAACCGGCAGUUCAGUGAGCUCCAACGUUUGCGCAUUAGACUGUUUCAUGAGAACAGGGUGGGUGGGGUUCUGUUGAAGACCCUGACCUGGAGUUACACUCAAACAUCGGUUCUCUGUGGUGGUGAGACCCGCUCUCAGUGUCUCAUGACCGGCCGCUUUUCGAUGUCCCAAGGACACGAACACGCCGCCGACUGAAGCAUCGUGGGAGAGAACGGAACAUCGGGAACAGCGGAUCAGCUCUCGGAGGCUGUGUGCUCAGUGAGCCGCGUGCUCUCUCGUCAGUUGGAGAGAGAUUGCUGCUGGCUCUCAAGUCACAGAACACCGCCACAAAGGGGCACCUCUUUUUCCCUUUACAAUGAAGGGAGACAGCCUGUGGCAUCUGGAAUUGUCGGGUGAACGAUUUGUUCUUGUUG